CUCUGGAGCCAUCUGGGCGGGGCUCUGACGGAGAUGGAGACGGGGAAAAGAGGGCACCGCGGGGCGGCUCAGGACGGAGGCGAGAAGGCAGCGCGCCAGGAGGCUCCCAGCCCCGAGGUAAAGCAGAUGGCUCCAGGUAACUUACUCCAGACUCUUCUGAUGAUCAUUGCACUUGAAACAAUCAGAAAAGCCAAGAGAGCGCUUGAUUUUUUUCUUUUUUUUUUUUUUUUAUACAUAGAAAAAGUGGGAAAAUGUUUCCAUGGUCUUACACAGCCAACUUUUAAAUUAAUAUGCUCUCCUUAUUACUUCCCCCAAAUACACUCAAAUUCCAACACCAAUACAAAGAAUACCACACCCCCCAUACAUAACCCAUCAGUAUUAGGUUUUACUGCUGUUCAAGAAGUGCCAAGUACUACAUCACACAAAUCCCUGUCGCAUGUAGCUAUUGCUCUGCCUUCCUUUGCUGUCCUUUAAAAAUAAACAUUUUAGUUUAGUGCAUGGUGAGAGAAGACAUGGGUUUAGUUUGCCUUCAGCAUGUGGAAAGCCAGUUUUUCCAGCACCAUUUAUUAAAGAGGCUAUCUUCCAGUGAAGCUUUUUGGCCCCUUUGUCAAAGAUAAGGGGGCUUGUGUUUGAAAUUGCUUCUGCAAUCUUCUAAUUUAUUUUAUAUACAUGUGUGUGAUUUAUUUUUUCUUUUUCCAUUACCAGGAUCUAACUCAGGACCUCAUGCUUGGCAGGCAGGUGCGGUGGUGCCAUUGACUUGCAUACCUAGCCCUGCAUCUUCUAAACUGUUCCACUGAUCCUCGGGUCUUUUUUUCUUUCCCAAGUGAUGCCCCCUGCCUUGCCUUUGUUUCCUAGAAUUGUUUUUGCUAUUCUGGGCCUCUUCGUGUUCCAAAUGAAGUUUAGGAAUGUCUUCUCUAUUGUGAGGUAUGCUACCGCAUUAGAUUAAAAUAAAAAUGGAGCAGGGCUGGGGAUUUAGCUUAGUGGUUCUGGCACCUGCCUUGCAAGCACAAGGACCUGAGUUUGAUCCCCCGGUACCCCUCCCCCAAAAUAUCAAAGAUCUAAGUAUUAAAACAGAAACACAAUCUGCUGGAAGAGAGAACAGGUACAACUCUUGAAGACAUAGGUAUAGGCAAAGACUUUAAGAACAAAACCCCUAUUACACAGGAAAUCAACGAAUCAACAACUGAGAUCUCAUUAAAAAGCUUUGCACAGCAAAAGAAAUCCACAGAGCGAAGGAAGAGGCAACCAAUAGAGUGGGGAAAAUAUUUUUGCUAGCUGUUCC
rnacentral:lncRNA from 1 species